CCUACGGGUGGCAGCAGUGGGGGAUAUUGCACAAUGGGGGGAACCCUGAUGCAGCGACGCCGCGUGGGUGAAGGAGCGUUUCGGCGCGUAAAGCCCUAUCGGCAGGGAAGAAGAUGACGGUACCUGACCAAGAAGUCCCGGGUAAAUACGUGCCAGCAGCCGCGGUUAUACGUAGGGGGCAAGCGUUAUUCGGAUUUACUGGGUGUAAAGGGGGCGCAGAUGGCAAUGCAAGCCAGGAGUGAAAGCUCGGGGCCCAACCCCGGGACUGCUCUUGGAACUGGAUGGCUGGAGUGCAGGAGGGGCAGGCGGAAUUCCUGGUGUAGCGGUGAAAUGCGUAGAUAUUAGGAGGAACACCGGUGGCGAAGGCGGCCUGCUGGACUGUGACUGACGUUGAGGCCCGAAGGCGUGGGGAGCGAACAGGAUUAGAUACCCGGGUAGUC
rnacentral:rRNA from 1 species